UACAGAGGGUGCAAGCGUUAAUCGGAAUUACUGGGCGUAAAGCGUGCGUAGACGGUUAUGUAAGUCAGAUGUGAAAGCCCCGGGCUCAACCUGGGAAUUGCAUUUGAGACUGCAUAGCUAGGGUGCGGAAGAGGGAAGCGGAAUUUCCGGUGUAGCGGUGAAAUGCGUAGAUAUCGGAAGGAACACCAGUGGCGAAGGCGGUUCUCUGGGCCUGUACUGACGCUGAGGAGCGAAAGCGUGGGGAGCGAACAGG
rnacentral:rRNA from 1 species